AAAUAGUCAAGUAACUACGAGUUAUCAAAGAUUACUCAAAAAGUGGUUAUCAGAUCUCAAUAAAAUUUAUAUGUGACCACAUGACAAACAUCGGCUUUCGAUUAAAUAAAAAAUUAUUAAAAUCGGUACACCCAGUAAAAAGUUAUUGCGGAAUUUCAAGAGUUUCCCUCGAUUUCUCUGGGAUCCCAUCAUCAGAUCCUGGUUUCCUUAUCAUGGUACUAAACUAU
rnacentral:misc_RNA from 1 species